UCUACGGGAGGCAGCAGUGGGGAAUAUUGCGCAAUGGGCGAAAGCCUGACGCAGCGACGCCGCGUGAGGGAUGAAGGUCUUCGGAUCGUAAACCUCUGUCAGCAGGGAAGAACGGUCACUGUGCUAAUCAGCAGUGAAUUGACGGUACCUGCAAAGGAAGCACCGGCUAACUCCGUGCCAGCAGCCGCGGUAAUACGGAGGGUGCGAGCGUUAAUCGGAAUUACUGGGCGUAAAGCGCUCGUAGGCGGUAUGUCAAGUCAAGGGUGAAAUCCCCGCGCUCAACGUGGGAACUGCCUUUGAAACUGGCAAACUGGAGUGUGUGAGAGGAUAGUGGAAUUGCAGGUGUAGGAGUGAAAUCCGUAGAUAUCUGGAGGAACAUCAGUGGCGAAGGCGACUAUCUGGCACAUAACUGACGCGGAGGAGCGAAAGCGUGGGUAGCAAACAGGAUUAGAUACCCGUGUAGUC
rnacentral:rRNA from 1 species